rnacentral:lncRNA from 1 species
UUAAGGAUGAUAAAAUUGCUGGCAAACUUGAUUCGGAUGACAAGAAGAAGAUUGAGGACACCAUUGAGGCGGCUAUCCAGUGGCUAGAUGCUAAUCAACUUGCAGAGGCUGAUGAGUUUGAGGACAAGAUGAAAGAAUUGGAAGGUGUCUGCAACCCUAUCAUUGCCAAGAUGUACCAAGGUGGUGCUGGUCCUGACAUGGGUGCUGCAGCUGAUGAUGAUGCUCCUACCGGUGCAGGUGGCGCUGGUCCUAAGAUUGAGGAAGUCGACUAAGUGUAGUUGCUGUCUGAUUUAUAUUUGCUGGUUAUAUUGGAUUUGAUCCAUUUGUCGUUUAUUCAACUGUUUUGCUUUAGCUGGAUUUUUUAGCUAUUUAGGCUAUUUUGUUAUGUUGUACCAAUGAUUAUGUUAUAUUGUUUUUCCUCUUGGACAGAGGCAAUUUUUUGCAUUCUAUAAUAUAAGUUUUGCCUCUAAGUUUUCUCUCUCUUGAGAUAUAAUAUGUGAUUCUAUUUGUACCAAUCGAAUGCACAAAACAGCUCAUUUUGUAGCCGUGCAGUUCUUGUUUUUAUUGUGCUUUUUAAUGCAAAAGCUUGGCUCCUGUUGUGGAUAGAGGGCUUGAGUUUUAAAACCAACAGCAGUUGAGUUGUCUGAGGCAGAGAUGGCCUCUAUAUUGCAAUUUAAUCUCUCAGAUGUAUUCUCAUAGCAUAAUUGGUCGAACUUCCUUGCCUGAAAGCAAGACAANNNNNNNNNNNNNNNNNNNNNNNNNNNNNNNNNNNNNNNNNNNNNNNNNNNNNNNNNNNNNNNNNNNNNNNNNNNNNNNNNNNNNNNNNNNNNNNNNNNNNNNNNNNNNNNNNNCUUCAGCUUCUACUGCCUCCGUUUGUUGCAUCGAAGCCGGCCAAUCCAAUCGCCACUUCCAAUUGUUCUGUUCCCAAAAACCCAUGGAAAAAAUCGUAACCAUUGGCUGUUCUGCCACAUGAAACAAUGUUGGGAAUAUAUUCUUCAGUGGUACCAUGCCAAUCCAUUUUUCAUUCCAAAAAUCAAUCAUCUUCCCGUCUCCCAACACAUUGCUGACAUUCGUAGAAAACCAAGGGGUGUCUAGUAAUCCACCUACCUUCAAAAGGUCUCGCCACCACAAGGACAUCAAAUUGUUAUACAAAGGGAUAUCUCGGUGCAAGAAGUUAGUUGCGAAAUUACCAUAUCUAAAAACCAAUAGUUGGUGCCAAAUGUUAUUACUAUCUGUCAACCCCCUCCACUGCCAUUUACUAAGCAGAGCUAAAUUAAAUAAUUCAAGAUUUUUUAUUCCCAAACCACCUUGAUCUUUCGGCAAGCAAACGGUGUCCCAUCCAACCCAACAUAUAUUUUAGUAUCCAAACCUCCACCCCAAAGAAACUUCCUUUGAAUACUCUCCAACUCUUUUAAAAUACAAACCGGAGCUUUGAAAAAAGAAAAGAAAUAAAGGGGUAAGCUAGAAAGUACCGAAUUAAUUAAAGUCACUCGGCCUCCAAUAGAUAAUUUACGACCUUUCCAUCCAUUAAGUUUCUUCCUCAUAGAAUCCACAACAGGUUGCCAAGUUGACUUUCUCCUCGGAUUUGAGCCUACUGGAAUCCCGAGGAAUCGAAAUGGGAUUGAAUCCACCCCGCAAUGUAAAAACUCUGAGGCUGCCGACAAAAAGUUGUCCUCUAAAUUAAUGCCAUAAAGUUUACUUUUGAAAAAAUUAACUUUCAGUCCCGACACUAGCUCAAAACUUCUCAGCACCGUUUUGAUCGACCAUAGAUUGUCCCAAUUUCCUUCACCAACAAUAAUUGUAUCAUCCGCAAACUGAAGAGUAUGGAACUUUAAUUCAUUGUUGAUCUUGUACCCAUGGAAAGUGCCUAUAUCGACUGCUCUCUGCAUUAGUCUUGUAAGCCCUUCUACCACAAUUAAAAAGAGAAAAGGGGACAACAGAUCAGCUUGUCUCAGCCCUUUCUUCACCAUAAAAUCAUCCGUAGGGCUGCCAUUAACCAACACUGACAUGGAACUAUUAAAAAUGCAUGCCCGUAUCCAUUUCAACCAUCUCGGAGCGAACCUGAUCCGUCUCAUCAUAUACUCCAGGUAAUUCCAACUAACUGUGUCGUAAGCACGUUCAAAGUCAACUUUAAACAUCAAACAUUUAUCUUUCCUCCUCUUUGCGAAAUCAAUAAGUUCGUUCACAACUAAAACGCCAUCUAAAAUUUGUCGAUUAGGCAGGAAAGCAGACUGACAGUCAGAUAUUAAAUGAGACAUAACCUUCUUUAAUCUUGUUGCAAGAAUUUUUGAGAUUUUAUUGGAUAAGGAGUUUUGGGAUCUUAUAAAUGAUGUAACGAUCAUGGUUGACCGAUUUCACAAUAAUGUGGGACUCUCUAAGAGUUUAUUAUCCUACUUUUUAACUCUAAUUCUGAAGGUUAAGUCUCCACAUCCUUUCAUAAAAAAAGUCUCCACAUUCUUUGAGAGAUUUCCGGCAAAUUCAAAUUGUAUAAUUAUUAACACUCUAGAUGUUUGAUAAAAUGUAUAUGUACUUAAUAGUAAUUAACUUUGUUUUGUCAAUUGUAUGUAUGAAUAUAAUCUUAUGUUACUAUUUUUCCUUUGAAUGACUGUUUAUUUAUAUGACUGAUUUUCUAAUAUUUGUUGAAUGUCUACUCUUUGUGUCGUUUUCUAGAAGAAUAAGGUGAGACUUAUUAAAGGUAUAUGUAAAGGAGGGAAAUUAGUGUUUGAAGUAAUGAAAGUUAUGCAUUCCUUUAUGUAAGUUUCUUUCCAUCUUUUCAAUGUCUGAUGAGAAAAUAUUGCAGGUUGUCUUGGAAUGAAACUUAACAUUUUCUUCUUUGGCAAUAGGUGGUACUGGUAGCAUUAAAUUUUUUAUGCUGAGGCUUUAAACAAAACAAAACAUUGGCUAGGGAAUAAUUGAGAAUGAAAAAUUGCUCUUUUCAAGUGGUAUGUAUCAAUAAAUCCUUAUUUGGUUCCUUUCCAUAUCAAUUAUCUACUAUGGUUCCAUGAUUAAAAGUAGAUUUUAAAAAAGUAUAUGUUAGAUUCAGAUAUACAAAAUAGAGAAGUAAACAAUGGAGGCUAGGGUUAGAAACACCACAAUUGCAUUCCUUGAUAAAAUAGAGUUACAAGAGAUUAUAUAGCAAAACCUAGUGGNNNNNNNNNNNNNNNNNNNNNNNNNNNNNNNNNNNNNNNNNNNNNNNNNNNNNNNGUCCAACAACUUAUUAUCUUAACACCUACCCUCAAACUCACGAUACAUAACAUUGUGAGUUUGUCAAAUAAAAUACUAAAAACAUACCAAAUAAUAUAAACUUCCAACACUACCCCUCAAGCUAAAGCUUACUAAGCUUUAAGCUUGUUACAAGUUAACCCAGAAAAUAAACCAACCCAACAGAUAGAAGCAUCCAAAUAGAUCAUCGUAGAGAGAGACAAACCAAAUCAAACCACUUCAUCAUCCAAUUCAGUCAAAGCUAACCAAUCCAACAAAUCCAAACUUUACCAAACCAAAUUGUUCCAAUCCAAACUGAACCAAACCAAUUUAAAUCGAACAAAACCAAAUGAGCCAUAGACCCAUAACCAAACCAAAUGGGAACUGAACUAAUCAAAUCAAACUAAUCCAAACCAACAUAAAGAAGAACCAAACCAUAAAACAGAAGAAUCAGUCAAUAGGGAGAGAAGCAACCAAAAUAGAAGAACAAAAGGGAGCAAUCCAACAGAAGAGAAGUCAUCAGAGAGAGAAGCAAUCAAACAAAAGAAACCAACAGGGAGAAGCAUCAGACAGAAUUCAGACAAAAGCAUCAUCAAUGAGAAGCAAUAGAAGAAAUCAUUAAAAAGAAACAAUCAGAUAGAAGAAAUCAUCAAAGAGAAGCAAUCAAACAGAAUAAUUGACAGAGAGAAGUGCAAUGCAAUCAAUUAGAAGAAACAAUAGAAGGAGAAUGCAAUCAAUCAGAAGAAUCAAAGAUAAGAACCAAAUAUACGGAAGAAGCCAACGAGGGAGAAUACCAAUCAACCAAGAGGAAUCCAAAGGGGGACAAUCAAUCAGAAGAAACCAAAUUGUGAGCACUCGACUCACCAAACAUCCAAAAGAAACACCACAACAUGAUGUUUCACAAACAACAUUCACUCACCAAAGCUGAAACAAUCAAAAGAGAGGAGUGGUGACCAAAAAUUUCUUCAAUGAGAACUUUUGACAAACACAUUGUGAACACUAUCUUAACUCACCAAAUUAACUAAUUCAAGCAAAUUCAUACAGAACCAAACUAAACAAAACUAAACCAACAAAAUCAAAACAAUCAAACACAAACGGGUCACGAUCACGAACUUGCAAGAAAUCAACAGAACAGAGAAGACGAAGUUGCCAAACGAGACAAACAGGACACUAUUUGACCCACCAUUAUCAACACACUGCCGAGAGAAGAAAUCAACAAAUUAACUUGGAACAAACUCCCAAAUAAAUUCACUAUCCACCAAAUCAAUAGCCAUGUGAUUUACGUGACGUACUUUCAGCAGGAGAACAAAUCUAACAACAGCACUAUUUAACAUACUCACAUCACACCAUAUCCCAACUUUGACAACAUGCCGUAACGGAAUUUUUUUUUCCUUCUUAUAACUAACAAUCAACCAGCAGAAACAAAACAAAACCAGUCCUCUGACCUUAAUUCAAAAUCGACAAACCAGUGAAUCACAAUUUCAUUCCCAAAACUUUUGGGAACACAAGCGACGAAAUCGACGAACAGUUCAAGGCGGAUCGAACCUUGCUCUAGAUACCAUGUUAGAUUCAGAGAUACAAAAUAGAGAAGUAAACAAUGGAGGCUAGGGUUAGAAACACCACAAUUGCAUUCCUUGAUAAAAUAGAGUUACAAGAGAUUAUAUAGCAAAACCUAGUGGACUAUAAACCUAAUGGGCCCAAUAAUAUAAAGUCCAACAACUUAUUAUCUUAACACCUACCCUCAAACUCACCAUACAUAACAUUGUGAGUUUGUCAAAUAAAAUACUAAAAACAUACCAAAUAAUAUAAACUUCCAACAGUAUAUGAUUCGUAGGGCUGGAGAUUCUUGAAUUACAUGCUUGAUAAAUUUGAAUUUAGUUAAAAGUAAAAAAAUCGUAGAUGUUAGACGAUUGUGUUUUUUUUUAAGAUAAAGUCGGUAUUAUCAAAUAGAAUUCAAACAGAGGAAUAUCUAUCAUGCUAAGUGGAUUAUCAAUAAAGGAUGUUGUUAGGAAUGGAAGAUCUAUUGGGAUAUGAGAAUAUAAUUGCUUAUCUUUCUAAAAUUGGCUUUACAUCGUGACCCAUAACACUUAAAAUACAAUGUUUUUUUGGUUAGAGAACUUUUGGAUGUCAACUAAGUUAAUUUGAAUCUUAAUAAAUAAUAUUUGGCUUAAUUGUACUUAUUGGUGAGAAUAGGUUAGAUCGAUCUUCGUAUGACUACAACCUAAAAACUCCACUUACACCCUUCAAAAGAAUUAACUUAUCCUCGAAAACACCCCGGUUUCGCAUUUCCUGCAAGUUCAGUCUAAAUAUAUGAAAAUAUUUUCUUCACAAUAAUACUUAAAAAGUUCAAUAUGAUCUUUUGUCACUCUCAUUAUAAAUAUUUUUUAUACCGAGAACAUUAGAAACUUUGAAUUUAAUUAUAAUAACUACGUCAAAAAUCACAUAUAAGUCACAUAUGAUUGAUUGAUUGUGAUUUGCGGCAAUGUAAAACUUUUUACACUUGAGAGUGUGUGAAAAUUAAACUCUUCACUUAUUUGGUUUCUAUAUUACACGUGGGUUGUGGCAUGUCUACAGAAUAUGUCAGUUCAUCAAAGGUGAUUGAAUGUGGUUCAAAAGGAAGAACCAUUUCGAGGUGUGUUAUUCAAACACAAAUUUUGAGACACAAAAUUAAUACAAUUUUCUUUCCAUCACAAGCACGCAAAAUAAAGUAUGCAAAAAAUAUUAAAAAAAUCAAAAAAGUAUAUUUGUUGUAUUUUUUUCAAAUAAAUGUGUUUACAUAACAUUUUCCUUUAAUUAAUUAUGAAUUAUGAAAUGCAACUACCUCUAUUUGAGAACCGUGAAAAGCUAUCCUUUAUGAACUUCAAUACAUUAGUUCUUUUUUUGCUACCACCAAUUUGCACAUUGUUUUGAGAUUCCUCCGGUAUAAAAGUCUGGUGCUUUCCAAGUGCUUCAUGGUAAAUCUUGUAGAAUAUUACUAUCCGUCUCAAAUUUUUGGUUCUUUUAUAUUUUUAGUUUUGUCCUAAAACUUUGGUCCUUUUAAGAAAUCAAAACACAAUACUUUACCAAUAAUACUCUUACAAAAACCAAAGUAUUUAUUAAAUAAAUUUUCUCUUUCUUAAUAAAGUAAGAGAAAAAAUGAUUUAACUUACCAAUCAAUCUUUAUUAUUUUUAAAUCCACGUACAAAACUUUAAAAGGACUAAAAUUUUGAGACGAAGGGAGUAGUACAUGGCUACAGUCUUAUUUGUUGUUGAGGAUAAGUUAGUUUUUUGUGAGACUUUUUAAUUAAAAAAAUACAGAUACUACAUAUAAUAAAGACUUUCUCAACUCUCAAAAAACUUUUUUGCCGUUGUCAUUUUAUUUUUACACAAGCAAACUUAGUUCUUUUCAUUCAUCUACAUCUAUAUCAAUACUAUAUACUAGUUAAAAGACCCGUGCAUUCGCACGGAUCUAUCGACUUUUAUCCGAUAUUUAAAAAUUUGUUAUAUAAUAUUGUUAAAAUAUAAGUGAAACUAUUGUGUUAUUUCUUGUAAAACUUAUUAAAUGAAUAAAUUAUCAAUACAUAUAUAUUCAAUUUUUUAUGUAUCAGUGACAAAUAAUUGUCCCCGGAUAUUCUUUAUUAAAAAAAUUAAAAUUUUGAUUAGUAAUAGUUAGUGUAAUUUAGUAAAUUUGAUAGUAUUUAACUUUAUUAUUUUUUUUUAUAGUUAGUAGUAAAUUUAGUAGUAGUAAUAUUGUUUAUGUUUUUUUUUUUUAUGGAAAAUAUUGUUUAGUUCAUAUAUUAUAAUAUGUUUUAUUCCUAUUUUUAAGCAUGUUAUCUUUUUAUUGUAUUUAUCUUAUAUUAUUUUUAUAUUUAUUUUUUUAGUGAAAUUUUAAUGCGUUUAGAUUGCUCUGAUUUGUUCUGUUUAUAAUCUGUUUUAUUUCUAUUUUUAAGCAUAUCGUUUUUUUAUAAUUUUUUUUGUAUUUAUCUUAUAUUCUUUCUAUAUUUUUUUUUGUGAAAUUACAAUGAAAGAAUAUAAAACUUGCAACGUGAUUAAAAACAAUAAAGAUAAUUUAGUAACUUUAACGUUAAUCGAUUUUAAUAUUCUUUCUAUUGAUUUUUUAGGCACUCAUUGGUAGAUCUAGUCAGAAACUCAUUGGUUCUCAGAUAAUCAGGCCCACUAAGGGCCCAAAGUCGAAAACUAGAUCGACAACCGCGGAAUUUUCGUCCAAUCAAAUCCAAGGACUCGUAACAGAAUAUUCUAGAAGAAAUAAAAACCCUAACUAGUAACUAUAUAAGCCAACUCAAGCUCCUUAAUUCCUUCCUUUCACUUCAAAUCACAGUCUCGCUGCUGUGAUUUUUUCAUCCCUUUCUCUCAGAUCUUUCUCUUUUUCCACCGUAAAAGCAAAAUCCAAUGGCCGGAAAGGGAGAAGGACCAGCUAUCGGUAUCGAUCUCGGAACCACCUACUCUUGUGUCGGUGUAUGGCAACAUGACCGUGUUGAAAUCAUCGCUAACGAUCAAGGUAACAGAACCACGCCGUCGUAUGUCGCCUUUACCGACUCCGAGCGUCUUAUCGGUGAUGCCGCCAAGAAUCAAGUCGCCAUGAACCCUAUCAACACCGUUUUCGGUUAGUUAUUCUAAAUCUUACUAUUUAGUUCAGUUUAUUAUUCUAUUUACUCGAUCUACGAUCUGUUAAUUAGUUUUCGUAUAUUGCUUCGAUUAAAUAUUUAUUUAUAUACGUUAAAGUUGAUUUAAUUUUCAGUUAAUUAGUUUAGAAAUUAGAAUUUGUCACAUGUAUUUAUUGCUUCACUUUCGUGUACCUUGAAUAUGUUAAUUUACCGUUAAUGACGCGUCUUGUGUAUUAUUUGCAAGAUUGAUUAAUAAUUAGAUUGGUAAUUAGUAAUACUAAUAUGAAUGAUGUGUUGUGAUUGAAAAUUUGUUAGAUAUUAAGAUUAAUAUCGUUAUUUUGUUCCUAUUACAGAUGCUAAGAGGUUGAUUGGUCGUAGAUUUAGUGAUGCCUCUGUUCAGAGUGACAUGAAAUUGUGGCCUUUUAAGAUUAUUUCUGGCCCUGCCGAGAAGCCACUGAUUGGUGUUAACUACAAGGGUGAAGAUAAGCAAUUUGCUGCUGAAGAGAUCUCUUCUAUGGUACUUAUGAAGAUGCGUGAGAUUGCUGAAGCUUACCUUGGCUCUGCUAUUAAGAACGCUGUUGUUACUGUCCCUGCUUACUUUAAUGAUUCUCAGCGUCAAGCUACUAAGGAUGCUGGGGUUAUUGCUGGUCUUAAUGUUAUGAGAAUCAUCAAUGAGCCUACAGCUGCAGCCAUUGCUUAUGGUCUUGACAAGAAGGCAACCAGCGUUGGUGAGAAGAAUGUUUUGAUUUUUGAUCUUGGAGGUGGUACUUUUGAUGUUUCUUUGCUUACUAUUGAAGAGGGUAUCUUUGAGGUGAAAGCAACCGCCGGAGACACCCAUCUUGGAGGUGAAGAUUUUGAUAACAGAAUGGUGAACCACUUUGUUCAAGAGUUUAAGAGAAAGAACAAGAAGGAUAUCAGUGGCAACCCAAGAGCACUCAGAAGGUUGAGAACUGCAUGCGAGAGGGCGAAAAGAACUCUUUCAUCUACUGCCCAGACCACCAUUGAAAUUGAUUCUCUAUUUGAGGGUAUUGAUUUCUACUCCCCCAUUACUCGUGCCAGAUUUGAAGAGCUCAACAUGGAUCUCUUCAGGAAAUGUAUGGAACCAGUUGAGAAGUGUUUGAGAGAUGCCAAGAUGGACAAGAAAAGUGUCCAUGAUGUUGUCCUUGUUGGUGGAUCCACCAGAAUUCCAAAGGUUCAACAACUUCUUCAGGAUUUCUUUAAUGGAAAAGAGCUAUGCAAGAGCAUUAAUCCCGAUGAGGCUGUUGCAUAUGGUGCUGCUGUUCAGGCUGCUAUCCUUAGCGGCGAGGGCAAUGAGAAGGUUCAGGAUCUUCUCCUCUUGGAUGUUACCCCUCUAUCUCUUGGUUUGGAAACUGCUGGAGGUGUUAUGACUGUUCUGAUCCCAAGGAAUACCACCAUUCCAACAAAGAAGGAACAAGUUUUCUCAACCUAUUCCGACAACCAGCCUGGUGUGUUGAUCCAGGUCUUUGAAGGAGAGAGGACCAGGACUAGAGAUAACAAUUUGUUGGGCAAGUUUGAGCUUUCCGGUAUUCCUCCUGCUCCCAGGGGUGUUCCCCAGAUCACUGUUUGCUUUGACAUUGAUGCCAAUGGUAUCUUGAAUGUCUCUGCUGAAGACAAGACUACCGGGCAGAAGAACAAGAUUACCAUCACCAAUGACAAGGGUAGGCUGUCCAAGGAAGAUAUUGAGAAGAUGGUUCAAGAGGCCGAGAAAUACAAAUCUGAAGAUGAAGAGCAUAAGAAGAAGGUUGAGGCCAAGAAUGCUUUGGAAAACUAUGCAUACAACAUGAGGAACACCAUCAAGGAUGAUAAGAUUGCUGGAAAACUUGAUUCAGAUGACAAGAAGAAGAUAGAGGACACCAUUGAGGCGGCUAUCCAGUGGCUAGAUGCCAACCAGCUUGCAGAGGCAGAUGAGUUUGAGGACAAGAUGAAGGAAUUGGAAAGUGUCUGCAACCCUAUCAUUGCCAAGAUGUACCAAGGUGGUGCAGGUCCUGACAUGGGNNNNNNNNNNNNNNNNNNNNNNNNNNNNNNNNCAGAUGAUGAUGAUGUUCCUGCCGGUGCAGGUGGUGCUGGUCCCAAGAUUGAGGAAGUGGACUAAAUGUAGUUGCUCCUACGAUUUAUAUUUGCAGGUUAUAUUUGAUUUGUUUCAGUUGUUUAUUUUAACUGUUUGGUUUUAGCUGGAUUUUGG